CCUACGGGUGGCAGCAGUGGGGAAUAUUGGGCAAUGGGCGCAAGCCUGACCCAGCAACGCCGCGUGAAGGAAGAAGGCUUUCGGGUUGUAAACUUCUUUUCUGGGGGACGAACAAAUGACGGUACCCCAGUAAUAAGCCACGGCUAACUACGUGCCAGCAGCCGCGGUAAUACGUAGGUGGCAAGCGUUAUCCGGAGUUAGUGGGUGUAAAGGGCGUGUAGGCGGGAAUGCAAGGCAGAUGUGAAAACUAUGGGCUCAACCCAUAGCCUGCAUUUGAAACUGUAUUUCUUGAGUGCUGGAGAGGCAAUCGGAAUGCCGUGUGUAGCGGUGAAAUGCGUAGAUAUACGGAGGAACACCAGUGGCGAAGGCGGAUUGCUGGACAGUAACUGACGCUGAGGCGCGAAAGCGUGGGGAGCAAACAGGAUUAGAUACCCGGGUAGUC
rnacentral:rRNA from 1 species